CAGCCCAGUAGCCCACGCAAUCGUCCGUCUCCCACACCAAGCACUCGUCCGUCUCCUCCGUCUCCAACACAAUCCGCCGCCGCCGUCUCCCCUCAUCCCCGUCUCUCACAUCCCGUCGCUUCCGCCGUCGGCCGUCCCGAAUUCUUCGUCCGCCGUCCCUCCCCGCACUCAGGCACGCGUACACCUAUCUUCCUCGCUCGCCUGGUUCCGUGGUUCGUGUACGAUUCACAGCGGAGUAGGGGGUCAGGUUCGGCUUCCAUCCAAACCGGCCGCCGGCCAGUCCACCGAGGGGAGAGUCCAUAUUGACCACGCGAAACCCUAGACGCCACGGAGAUGGUCCAUCUCCGCCGCCUCGCCCAGUUCUUGCUCGCCUCAGCUCGCGGGGAUGGAGCAGGACGGCGCCGCCCGUCCCUUCGCACCAGGCAGGACGACGGCGCCGUGGACGGCUGGGCGCGGAACGACAGCGAGCCCCCUCCCGUACGGCGCUCAGGCGGAGUGCCCCGAGGUCGUAGAUCCUCCUCCUUGCCGGCGCUUCCGCGGCCACGUCUCCGCUGCUGCCUCCGCGUGCGCGACCCUCAACGACGACUCGGUGGGGAGGAGCCCUGCGACGACCUCGACAACGCCUGCUCCCCCGACCACAACUACUGCGUCCAAGAAAGCCACAUGGAUUGGGGAUAUGUACCUCGGUUUGGGUUUAAAGGGGCAAUCUUUGAGCAUUUGUAUAUCAACUAUCGAGGAUCUCAAGUUGACAUGGACCGCACUAUGAUCAAGUGCAUUCUGGUGCUAUGAUGAUUGUGAUAGAAGAUGUUAGCUGCAGAAGCAAUCACUAUGUCUCAGCUCCAAUAUUAAAAAUCAGUGCACCUGAAAUACGACACAAUUUUUGUCAUCUGGAACUGCGCUUAUAAGGUGUUUGGUCUGAAAGCUACGCUCCUGAAUACAAUAUGAUAUAAAAGGUUCAUGAAAUCAUCAGGUAUGGAAAUGCUUGACCGUUUUUGUAAAUCACUUAGUACAAUAUUAUCAGUUUGUUUUUUGCAUUAUUUCCCAGUUCUCUUGCAGUACUAUUCAACAACCUAUCUUCCUGCCUACUAGAUAAAAGAGGGGUUUUGUUUACUUAACAUGGUUGCCUGAUUAACAUAGUCAUGGUUUCUGUUAGUUAUUUUUUCCACUACCAAAGCAACAACUUAUGUUCCUACCUACCAGAUAUACUACUCCUUGAUUGCUUAGCUCCCGGCUUAAGAAGCUCCACCAUUCUUUUAUAUAAUAUUAGAAAAAAAAAUUGAGUUCUAACUUUGUUGAAAGACACGCACAGUUCUGAUGUUCUGGGCCCAAUGUUCAUUUCUAGAGGCAAAUACUCUCGGAUUUCUUAGUGAACUGUAAUCCCAUCGAGAUAACCCCCCUCGAUAUAGCUCCCUUUAUUUGCACGACACAAUCUAGCAUAUGACGGCUCUGAUUUGGAUUGUGCGUGUUUCUCCAAAAACUAGGAUUAUAUACCUGAGAACAAACAAAUAACGUUAUAAACUUACCUCAAAGCCUAUGGGUUGACUGAAGCUUGAUAAAUAGUUUCAGAUGCACUAUGGUCUCAUAACAGUAGAAAUAAACUUCGAGGGAAAGAGAACCAUAAGUAUAGGUGACUGCAUAGUAGAAGACGUGUAAUCGUGUUGCAUUAUACUGUCUUUAUAGAAGCCGACAAAAUCAGAGACAUCCUAAAUUUGGUUUUCUGUUCUUGUCAGUUAAGAAAAGAAACAUUAACUCUUGGAUUAUCAGUAAGGGAAUAUGCCUUAUUAGCAUACUCUUAUGGUGGUUAUUAUUGCUCAACGUUGUGAGGAAAAAGAAGAAUAUUCAGAUUUUUCUAUUUGUGGUUAUAUCUUUUGGAUAAACAAUAGAAGGGUAAACUGCGAAGAAGAAACGUAACGACCACUAGUAGAUAUAUCUUUAUUUUGAAUUAAACUAAAGUUGCCAUGAUAGCAAUAUUUUAGAAUAUUCAGAUUCUUUUCAAUAUUUAUGGUGAUUAUAUCUUUUGCACAUUAACACUGAAACUGAACUAUUUUUGUCGGGCUAGAGAAGCGUAAUUUCAAUACAAACUGCAAUUGCUUGGGCAAGAGAAAUCAACUCAAUACUACAAUUUUCCAUAUGAUGUAGUAAGAGGGGGCGUACCAUUGUAAACCGAUGUAGGGUGAAGGCUAGCCGCAUCUUUGGCGUGUGGUCAAACCCGACAAGCUGCAACUAUGUGGAGCAUCCACAUUACUGCCACCACAUGCUUGCUAAAACAGUUAAUAUGUUAGUCCCCGUACAUCAGACACAUCUUCGGCGAGCAUGCUUGAUGGCAAAAUCGGGCAACUAUUGUUGUAUUGAGUAUCCAGAGAUGAUAACCGUCAUGAAAAUAAUUGCAUGGAUCGAUGAUAUCCCACACGGUCUUGUUUGCAUCAAAAGCGUUGGAUAAGAAUGCACCAACCAUUUUGGUAAUGGGCAUCUCAACAGUUCUAUUUGGGCCUCAAUCCCCUAAUACGCUAGUAAUUGUCUCCUUUCUUGUAUUUCUCUUAGUCUCACUCCCAAACACUUCAUGAUAUGAGAGAGGGAAGGCAUUCCUAACAUCAAGCUGAGAGACAGACCAGUGGCGAACAUAGGCCACAAUGAGAAGUGCGCGAAGGCCAUGGGAGAAAAUGCUCAUUGUAGUCUUGGCCAUGUUCCCGAGGAAAGCCUUGCGCCACUAGAUGAGCUUUGUAACACUCAAGAGAACCAUCAGUGUAUUAACAUUAUAGACACACUUACAAGCGAUGGGACGAGCAUGGGGAGGAAGAGAAAUAACAUCCCACGUGCCGAUGCGCACAAGAGCAACAAUCUCCUCUACAAUCGCAUGCCGCCAUUCGGGAUGAACAAAUGCGUCAUGAUAAGAAGUCGUCUCGAGAAAAGCGGGCCCAGAAUAACCAUAGUGGUCAAUAGGCGGAAGCGAGAGUUCGAAAGCCAUAAGUAGGCUGAGCUGGAGGUGAUGCAUUGCCAACAGGAGAGGACAUUGUAGUAGAGGGAGAUGGCUUGUCAGAAGGAUCCAUAACACGCGGACCACAAGUGUAGUGAAGAAGAUGAUGAAGGGGAAUCAUCAGGGAAGCCUCAUGGACGAGCCAGGUGAGGUAGCCUCAAGUAAUGAACGAGGUGGGGAAGCCGCAUGUGACGACGUGUGGGGUCUAUAAUAGUAGUACGGGAGGACACGCUGGGAUAGGUGGGCGAGGGCAAUAAAUGAGUGAUAAGUGUAUCGGGAAAAUUGAGGGAAGUAUCCUCAAUUGGGGGGGGGGGCGAAGCAGAGGAUGGACGUGCAUAAAAAGGAUGAGACUCAAUGAGAAGUCACAUCUCGAGAAAUGCGCAUCCGAUGACUGACAAGAUCCCAACACCGAUAGUCGUUGUGCUCAUCACUGUAACCUAAGAAGAUAUUCAACAGAUUGAUUAGACAGUUUGGUGCGUGAAGAACGUAGCAAACACAACCAAGCAAAGUGUUUAGUACUCCAUCCGUCCGAAAAUACUUGUCAGAGAAAUGGAUGCAUCUAGACAUAUUUUAGUUCUAGAUACAUCCAUUUUUAUCCAUUGGGGGGGGGGCGAAGCAGAGGAUGGACGUGCAUAAAAAGGACGAGAUUCAGUGAGAAGUCACAUCUCGAGAAAUGCGCAUCCGACGACUGACAAGAUCCCAACACCGAUAGCCCUUGUGCUCAUCACUGUAACCUAAGAAGGCAUUCAACAGAUUGAUCGGACAGUUUGGUGCGUGAAGAACGUAGCAAACGCAACCAAACAAAGUGUUUAGUAAUCCAUUCGUCCGAAAAUACUUGCCGGAGAAAUGGAUGUAUGUAGACAUAUUUCAGUUCUAGAUACAUCCAUUUUUAUCCAUUUGUGCGACAAGCAAUUCCGGACGAAGGGAGUUGUCAGGGGAAUGCCCACAAAGACGCUCGGAAUGUCACCAUGUAGAGCAAAGUAGGGAUGAUUAUUGACGAGAUAGGUGGCUACGAUCAUCAACGCACUAGCCGCCUCAUGAAGGUGGCUAUGCUUGCGGUUAGCAACACCAUUCUGACCAUGAGCACAAGACGAGAACUGAGCAAGUGUGCUUUUCUCAACAAGGAAUUCGUGCAGCAAAUGAGGGAUAUACACACAAGCAAAAUCUACACCAAAGACAUGGAUAUGAGUGGAAAACUGAGUAUGAACCAAGGCGGAAAACUUCUUACAGAUAGACCUCACUACAAGAAGGCAUAAAAUAUAUCUACUUGUGUCGAGAGAAAUCAUUAUAAAGAUAAUAGUGGCGAUGGCCUCCUUUCAAGGCAAAGGCAGUCGGAUCCCAAACAUCAGAGUGAACAAGAUUGAAAGGACGCCGAGACAGCUCUAAGGAUAAGGUAAUUGAACGUGUUUACCCAACUAACAAUCUUGACUGUCUAAAGACACAUUACCAGAGACAGAUCCAAGGAGACCAUGUCGAACUAAGGAUGAGAGUCAAGAACCACACAUGCGACUGCGACAAUCAUGCUAGAACGAGUGGAUAGACGAGGUAAGUUAGUCGAAGAGACUGGCGGCGGUGGUAGCGGAGGGAAGGUGAAGCCUGGCACACUCCAGAGGGCGUGUGACUCAUAGCGCUGAGGGCCAACACCAAGUAGAGAACCCGUGUGCCGAUCCUAAAUCGGAACAAGAGUCUGAAGUCGAGAAUGACCCUACAACCAAAUUAAAAAACUAACCUCUUGAAAUGAGCUACAUGUUAAGUAUCAUUAGCAGUAAGAACAUGUACAUGAGAAUUUAGAGGGCCAUUGCGUUGUCGACUACCUGUGCGACUAUGGUGGCGCGCAACAGGUAACACGAGAUGUGGGAUUGAGGCUUCACACAUAGCAGCCCAAAGUUAGGCGAAGGGUGCGCAACUGGUAGGAAGCAGAGAGUACACGUGAGGUGUAGCGGAAGGUAUGAAAACAUUGUUGGGAGCGGAGUGUCGUUGCCGUCGUUUGUUGUACUUUGAGGCAAGCAUCGAGGGAAUGGCGAUUGGGGAAGGCGAGAAGAUGACACUUGGAGGAGAAAGGCAUCAUUUGCCACAGUACAUACGUAUGAGCGUCAGUCAUGACAGUGGACGGUUGUGGGCAGAUCUGGUAUCUGCAUGUGGGUUUGUUACUAGGCUUGGUUGGAUCAUAGUUAUGAUUUGUGCUAGAUUCCUUCCUUUGAAGAUUGACGCUGGAGACCUUUAGGGUGUAGUAUGAGAUAUACCGGAUUUAUAUAGGUAUAGUAUGAUUGGCAUGAGUGUGGUAUUGGUGGACUAUUGGAUCAUCUUGGAUAUUACUACUUGGAUUCUAGGUUGGAGGUAACUUGGGCACUUGGAUUUGUGAUAUUUUGACCUAAGCUUAGUAGCUUGUAUGUGCACCAUAUGGAUAUAGGCAUGUAGAUGAUAAAUGGAUCGGAGUUGGUAGACAUUGAUGAUUUUGCUAGCACUCCUCAUAUAUAUUGGACUUAGAUAACUAUGAUACUAGGCUUGGUUGGAUCAUAGUUAUGAUUUGUGCUGGAUUCCUUCAUUUGAAGAUUGAAGUUGGAGAACUUUAGGGUGUAGAGUUAUCAACAUGAGAUAUAUCGGAUUUAUAUAGGUAUAGUAUGAUUGAAAUGAGUGUGGUAUUGGUGGACUAUUGGAUCAUCUUGGAUAUUGCUACUUGGAUUCUAGGUUUAAGAUAACUUUGGCACUUGGAUUUGUGAUAUUUUGACCUAAGCUUAGUAGCUUGUAUGUGCCCCAUAUGAAUAUGAGCCAUGGAUAUGAUACAAAUGGAUCGAAAUUGGUAGACUUCGAUGAUCCCCAAAAAUGUUAUGUACAAGAUCAUCAUGGUCGUGGAGGGAAAACUAGGCAUGACUCACCCCAAUGUAUAAGACGAAAUAUGAUUUUGACCAUGCGAAUGGAAAUACAUGUGCAUGCAGUGCUAACGAAAAAAAUGUUAAUUUAGGGGAUUCUGGUACGAAGCCACCUUGCAAGAGGUUAUUGAGUGUAGGCAACCCUGCGUUGGUGAAGGACCCUUCCUUGGCGCCGGGGGAAAUGAAGUGGCAAGGUUCUUAAGACUGUGAGGGCAAAAUUGGGACGAGUGACUCAGCUCAGGGUUCCUCUUUGCAAGUUAAAGUGAAAAGGCAGAGGAUGGCAGGGCGUGCCGCUCUUGAUAGCAUUUGCAUUGCUUCUUCAUACCUCUCGUGCACUCUUCGUUUCCCGUCGAUUCGACUUGGCGUCCUUACCUUGUUUGAGGGUUAUGUGUCACGGACUUGGUUCCGCAUCCCAUGUUCCCUUGCUAGGAGUCCCUAGCCUUGGCGACAGGUAGCGACGUGCACUUGGGCGCUUGGCGUUCUUGGGUAAGUUCGGGGGCGGUGCCCAAGCUUGCAACUAUGGCGACAACUUGCAUGGGAGCAGAUGAUGUAGGAACAAGGCAGCACACGAGUAACUCGCAGCCAGGGAAAUGACACCUAGCCGAACAUGCAGGCAGUGGAGAGUACACGGGAGGUGUGGGUAGAGGUGAAAACGUUGCCGGGAGUGUACUGUUGCUGCCGUUACUUAGCCUUUAGAUCCAGAGCGGAGUGGCGAGGGUAUGACGAUAGGGGAAGCGGGGAAGAUUCCUUCCUUUGAAGAUUGAAGUUGGAGAACAUUCGGGUGUAGUAUGAUCAACCUAAGACAUAUCGGAUUUAUAUAGGUAUAGUAUGAUUGGCAUGAGUGUGGUAUUGGUGGACUAUUAGAUCAUCUUGGACAUUACUACUUGGAUUCUAGGUUGGAGGUAACUUGGGCACUUGGAUUUGUGAUAUUUUGACCUAAGCUUAGUAGCUUGUAUGUGCCCCAUUGGAUCAUCUUGGAUAUUACUACUUGGAUUCUAGGUUAGAGGUAACUCGGGCACUUGGAUUUGUGAUAUUUUGGCCUAAGCUUAGUAGCUUGCUUGUGCCCCAUAUAUGGAUAUGAGCACGUAGAUGAUACAAAUGGAUCGGAGUUGGUAGACUUUGAUGAUCUUGCUAGCCCUCGUCAUGUGUAUUGGACUUAGAUAACUAUGAUACUAGGCUUGGUUGGAUCACAGUUAUGGUUUUGUGCUAGAUUCCUUUGAAGAUUUAAACUGGAGAACAUUAGGGUGUGGUAUGAUCAACCUGAGAUAUAUUAGAUUUAUAUAUGUAUAGUAUGAUUGGCAUGGGUGCGGUAUUGAUGGACUAUUGGAUCAUCUUGGAUAUUACUACGUGAAUUCUAGGUUGGAGAUAACUUGGGCAUUUGGAUUUGUGAUAUUUUGACCUAAGCUUAGUAGCUUGUAUAUGCUCCAUAUGGGCAUGGAGAUGAUACAAAUGGAUCAGAGUUGGUAGACUUUGAUGAUUUUGCUAACCCUCCCCAAGAAUGUUAUGACUACAAGAUCAUCAUGGGAGGAUGAUUUGGAUUAAUUAGAAUAGAUGGCAAUUUUAAUGGUAUGUGCCUUUAUGGGACAACUGAUCUUGCUUUUAUUAUGUGUUGGAUGCAAUAGUAGUAGGAGAGUAUGACUUAUGAAGUGAUAUUAUAUUCGUGGAUGAAUAGAUCCUGGAACAAUUUGGAUUUUACUUAGGUGAUUGUGAUCUUGAAAGAAAAAUCUUGUGGAUGAUAACUUCUAAUUUUUGUAUCUAUAGUCAUCAAGUGCAAGCUUGCUUUAUAUUGGACUUCGAAACCGUGAUACUGGGCUUGGUCGGGUCAUGAUUAUGAUUUGGUCUAGAUUCCCAUCUUUGAAGAUUGAACCCGGAGAACUUUUGGGUGUAGUAUGAUCAACCUGAGAUAUAUUGAAUUUAUAUAGGUGUAGUAUACAAUUAGCAUGACUACGGUAUUGGUGAACUAUUGGGAUCAUCUUGGAUAUUGCUACUUGGAUUCUAGGUUGGAGAUAACUUGGGCACUUGGAUUUGUGAUAUUUUGACCUAAGCUUAGUAGCUUGUAUGUGCCCCAUUGGAUCAUCUUGGAUUCUAGGUUGAAUUAACUUGGGCACUGGAUUUGUGAUAUUUUGACCUAAGCUUAGUAGCUUGUAUGUGCACCAUAUGGAUAUGGGCAUGUAGAUGAUAAAUGGAUCGGAGCUGGUAGACUUUGAUGAUUUUGCUAGCCUCCGUCAUAUGUAUUGGACUUAGAUAACUAUGAUACUAGGCUUGGUUGGAUCAUAUUUAUGAUUUGUGCCGGAUUCCUUCAUUUGAAGAUUGAAGCUAGAGAACUUUAGGGUGUAGAGUUAUCAACAUGAGAUAUAUCGGAUUUAUAUAGGUAUAGUAUGAUUGAAAUGAGUGUGGUAUUGGUGGACUAUUGGAUCGUCUUGGAUAUUGCUACUUGGAUUCUAGGUUUAAGAUAACUUUGGCACUUGGAUUUGUGAUAUUUUGACCUAAUGUAGCUUGUAUGUGCCCCAUAUGAAUAUGAGCCAUGGAGAUGAUACAAAUGGAUCGGAGUUGGUAGACUCCGAUGAUUUUGCUAACCGUCCCCAAAAAUGUUAUGUACAAGAUCAUCAUGGUCGUGGAGGGAAAACUAGGCAUGACUCACCCCAAUGCAUAAGAAAUAUGACAUGUACAUCCAGUGCCAACGGAAAAAAUGUUAAUUUAGGGGAUUCUGGUACGAAGCCACCUUGCAAGAGGUUAUUGAGUGCAGGCAACCUGCAUUGGUGAAGGACCCUUCCUUGGCGCCGGUGGAAAUGAAGUGACAAGGUUCUUAAGACUGUGAGGGUAAAAUUGGGACGAGUGACUCGGCUCAGGGUUCCUCUUUGCAAGUUAAAGUGAAAAGGCAGAGGAUGGCAGGGCGUGCGGCUCCUGAUAGCGUUUGCAUCACUUCUUCAUACCUCUCGUGCACUCUUCGUUUCCCGCCGAUUCGACUUGGCGUCCUUACCUUGUUUGAGGGUUAUGUGUCAUGGACUUGGUUCCGCAUCCCACGUUCCCUUGCCAGGAGUCCCUAGCCUUGGCGACAGGUAGCGACGUGCACUUGGGCGCUUGGCGUUCUUGGGUAAGUUCGGGGGCGGUGCCCAAGCUUGCAACUAUGGCGACAACUUGCAUGGGAGCAGAUGAUGUAGGAACAAGGCAGCACACGAGUAACUCGCAGCCAGGGAAAUGAUACCUAGCCGAACAUGCAGGCAGUGGAGAGUACACGGGAGGUGUGGGUAGAGGUGAAAACGCUGCCGGGAGCGUACUUCUGCUGCCGUUAGUUAGCCUUUAGAUCUAGAACGGAGUGGCGAGGGUAUGACGAUAGGGAAAGCGGGGAAGAUUCCUUCCUUUGAAGAUUGAAGCUGGAGAACUUUCGGGUGUAGUAUGAUCAAUCUAAGAUAUAUCAGAUAUAUAUAGGUAUAGUAUGAUUGGCAUGAGUGCGGUAUUGGUGGACUAUUAGAUCAUCUUGGACAUUACUACUUGGAUUCUAGGUUGGAGGUAACUUGGGCACUUGGAUUUGUGAUAUUUUGACCUAAGCUUAGUAGCUUGUAUGUGCCCUAUUGGAUCAUCUUGGAUAUUACUACUUGGAAUCUAGGUUGGAGGUAACUUGGGCACUUGGAUUUGUCAUAUUUUGGCGUAAGCUUAGUAGCUUGUGUGUGCCCCAUAUAUGGAUAUGAGCAUGGAGAUGAUAAAAAUGGAUCGGAGUUGGUAGACUUUGAUGAUUUUGCUAGCCCUCGUCAUGUGUAUUGGACUUGGAUAACUAUGAUACUAGGCUUGGGUGGAUCAUGGUUAUGAUUUUGUGCUAGAUUCCUUUGAAGAUUUAAGCUGGAGAACUUUAGGGUGUAGUAUGGUCAACCCGAGAUAUAUCAGAUUUAUAUAUGUAUAGUAUGAUUGGCAUGGGUGCGGUAUUGGUGGAUUAUUGGAUCAUCUUGGAUAUUACUACUUGAAUUCUAGGUUGGAGAUAACUUGGGCACUUGGAUUUGUGAUAUUUUGACCUAAGCUUAGUAGCUUGUAUAUGCUCCAUAUGAGCAUGGAGAUGAUACAAAUGGAUCGGAGUUGGUAGACUUUGAUGAUUUUGCUAGCUCUCCUCAUGUGUAUUGGACUUGGAUAACUAUGAUACUAGGCUUGGGUGGAUCAUAGUUAUGAUUUUGUGCUAGAUUCCUUUGAAGAUUUAAGCUGGAGAACUUUAGGGUGUAGUAUGAUCAACCCGAGAUAUAUCCGAUUUAUAUAUGUAUAGUAUGAUUGGCAUGGGUGCGGUAUUGGUGGACUAUUGGAUCAUCUUGGAUAUUACUACUUGAUUUCUAGGUUGGAGAUAACUUGGGCACUUGGAUUUGUGAUAUUUUGGCCUAAGCUUAAUAGCUUGUAUAUGCUCCAUAUGGGCAUGGAGAUGAUACAAAUGGAUCAGAGUUGGUAGACUUCGAUGAUUUUGCUAACCCUCCCCAAGAAUGUUAUGAGUACAAGAUCAUCAUGGGAUGAUGAUUUGGAUUAAUUAGAAUAGAUGGCAAUUUCAAUGGUAUGUGCCUUUAUGGGGCAACUGAUCUUGCUUUUAUUAUGUGUUUGAUGCAAUAGUAGUAGGAGAGUAUGACUUAUGAAGUGAUAUUAUAUUCGUGGAUAAAUAGAUCUUUGAUAAACCUUGGAACUAUUUGGAUUUUACUUAGGUGAUUGUGAUCUUAAAAAAAAUCUCGUGGAUGAUAACUUCUAAUUUAUGUAUCUAUAGUCAUCAGUGCAAGCUUGCUUUAUAUUGGACUUCGAAACCGUGAUACUGGGCUUGGUUGGGUCACUUGGGUUUGUGAUUUUUUUACCUUGAUCAUCAUGUGGAUAUGAGCAUUGAGAUGAUACAAAGGGAUUGGAAUUGGCUGACUUUUAUGGCCCUUCGUAAGAAUGUUAUGAGAUCAUCAUGGAAGGAUGGUUUGGAUUAAUUACAAUAGAUGGCAAUUUUGUUGGUAUGUUCCUUGUUGGAGCAGCUGAUCUUGAGAAAUGCGCAUCUGACGACUCACCAGAUCCGAACACCGACAACCCUUGUGCUCAUCACUGUAACCUAGAAAGACACACUCAACAUAUUGAUCAGACAGUUUGGUGCGUGAAGAACGUAGCAGAAGCAACCAAACAAACGAAGAGUUUGGUAGUUAGGAGAAUGCCCACAAAGACGCUCGAGAGGAAUAUCACCGUGUAGAGCAGAGGAAGUAUGAAUGGUUAUGAGAUAGGUGGCUACGAUCAUCAACGCACUAUCCGCCUCAUGAAGGUGCUGAUGCUUGCGCUCAGAGCGACACCAUUCUGAGCCUGAGCACGAGGAUAAGAGAACUGAUCAGCAAGUGUGAUAGCUUGCAUGUGCCCCAUAUGGAUAUGAGCAUGGAGAUGAUACAAAUGGAUCGAAGAUGGUAGACUUUGAUGAUUUUGUAUCAUCUCCGUGCUCAUAACUACGAUACUAGGCUUGGUUGGAUCGUAUUUAUGAUUUGUGCUAGAUUCCUUCCUUUCAAGAUUGAAGUUGGAGAACUUUAGGGUGUAGUAUGAUCAACCUAAGAUAUAUCGGAUUUAUAUAGGUAUAGUAGGAUUAGGAUGACUACGGUAUUGGUGGACUAUUGGGAUCAUCUUGGAUAUUGCUACUUGGAUUCUAGGUUGGAGAUAACUUGGGCACUUGGAUUUGUGAUAUUUUGACCUAAGCUUAGUAGCUUGUAUGUACCCCAUUGGAUCAUCUUGGAUAUUACUUGGAUUCUAGGUUGGAGGUAACUUGGGCACUUGGAUUUGUGAUAUUUUGACCUAUGCUUAGUAGCUUGUAUGUGCACCAUAUGGAUAUGGACAUAUAGAUGAUAAAUGGAUCGGAGUUGGUAGACUUUGAUGAUUUUGUUAGCCCUCCUCAUAUGUAUUGGACUUAGAUAACUAUGAUACUAGGCUUGGUUGGAUCAUAGUUAUGAUUUGUGAUGGAUUCCUUCAUUUGAAGAUUGAAGUUGGAGAACUUUAGGGUGUAGAGUUAUCAACAUGAGAUAUAUCAGAUUUAUAUAGGUAUAGUAUGAUUGAAAUGAGUGUGGUAUUGGUGGAAUCUUGGAUCAUCUUGGAUAUUGCUACUUGGAUUCUAGGUUUAAGAUAACUUUGGCACUUGGAUUUGUGAUAUUUUGACCUAAGCUUAGUAGCUUGUAUGUGCCCCAUAUGAAUAUGAGCCAUGGAUAUGAUACAAAUGGAUUGGAAUUGGUAGACUUCGAUGAUUUUGCUAACCGUCCCAAAAAUGUUAUGUACAAGAUCAUCAUGGUCGUGGAGGGAAAACUAGGCAUGACUCAACCCAAUGUAUAAGAAAUAUGACAUGUACAUGCAGUGCCAACGGAAAAAAAUGUUAGUUUAGGGCAUUCUGGUACGAAGCCACCUUGCAAGAGGUUAUUGAGUGCAGGCAACCCUGCGUUGGUGAAGGACCCUUCCUUGGCGCCGGGGAAAUGAAGUGACAAGGUUCUUAAGACUGUGAGGGCAAAAUUGGAACAAGUGACUCAGCUCAGGGUUCCUCUUUGCAAGUUCAAGUGAAAAGGCAGAGGAUGGCAGGGCGUGCCGCUCUUGAUAGCGUUUGCAUGGCUUCUUCAUACCUCUCGUGCACUCUCCGUUUCCCGCUGAUUCGACUUGGCGUCCUUACCUUGUUUGAGGGUUAUGUGUCACGGACUUGGUUCCGCAUCCCAUGUUCUCUUGCUAGGAGUCCCUAGCCUUGGCGACAGGUAGCGACGUGCACUUGGGCGCUUGGCGUCCUUGGGUAAGUUCGGGGGCGGUGCCCAAGCUUGCAACUAUGGCGACAACUUGCAUGGGAGCAGAUGAUGUAGGAACAAGGCAGCACACGAGUAACUCGCAGCCAGGGAAAUGAUACCUGGCCGAACAUGCAGGCAGUGGAGAGUACACAACAGGUGUGGGUAGAGGUGAAAACGUUGCCGGGAGCGUAUUGUUGAUGUCGUUACUUAGCCUUUAGAUCCAGAGCGGAGUGGCGAGGGUAUGACGAUAGGGGAAGCGGGGAAGAUUCCUUCCUUUGAAGAUUGAAGUUGGAGAACAUUCGGGUGUAGUAUGAUCAACCUAAGACAUAUCGGAUUUAUAUAGGUAUAGUAUGAUUGGCAUGAGUGUGGUAUUGGUGGACUAUUAGAUCAUCUUGGACAUUACUACUUGGAUUCUAGGUUGGAGGUAACUUGGGCACUUGGAUUUGUGAUAUUUUGACCUAAGCUUAGUAGCUUGUAUGUGCCCCAUUGGAUCAUCUUGGAUAUUACUACUUGGAUUCUAGGUUAGAGGUAACUCGGGCACUUGGAUUUGUGAUAUUUUGGCCUAAGCUUAGUAGCUUGUUUGUGCCCCAUAUAUGGAUAUGAGCACGUAGAUGAUACAAAUGGAUCGGAGUUGGUAGACUUUGAUGAUCUUGCUAGCCCUCGUCAUGUGUAUUGGACUUAGAUAACUAUGAUACUAGGCUUGGUUGGAUCACAGUUAUGGUUUUGUGCUAGAUUCCUUUGAAGAUUUAAACUGGAGAACAUUAGGGUGUGGUAUGAUCAACCUGAGAUAUAUUAGAUUUAUAUAUGUAUAGUAUGAUUGGCAUGGGUGCGGUAUUGAUGGACUAUUGGAUCAUCUUGGAUAUUACUACGUGAAUUCUAGGUUGGAGAUAACUUGGGCAUUUGGAUUUGUGAUAUUUUGACCUAAGCUUAGUAGCUUGUAUAUGCUCCAUAUGGGCAUGGAGAUGAUACAAAUGGAUCGGAGUUGGUAGACUUUGAUGAUUUUGCUAACCCUCCCCAAGAAUGUUAUGACUACAAGAUCAUCAUGGGAGGAUGAUUUGGAUUAAUUAGAAUAGAUGGCAAUUUUAAUGGUAUGUGCCUUUAUGGGACAACUGAUCUUGCUUUUAUUAUGUGUUGGAUGCAAUAGUAGUAGGAGAGUAUGACUUAUGAAGUGAUAUUAUAUUCGUGGAUGAAUAGAUCUUUAAUAAACCUUGGAACAAUUUGGAUUUUACUUAGGUCAUUGUGAUCUUGAAAAAAAAGUUGUCGUGGAGAUGUGAUAUUUUGACCUAAGCUUAGUAGCUUGUAUGUGCCCCAUAUGCUUAUGAGCAUGGAGAUGAUACAGAUGGAUCGGACUUGGUAGACUUUGAUGAUUUUGCUAACACCCCCCCCCCCCACCACCACCACCACCCCAAGAAUGUUACGAGUACAAGAUCAUGGGAGGAUGACUUGGAUUAAUUAGAAUAGAUGGCAAUUUCAAUGGUAUGUGCCUUUUUGGAGCAGUUGAUCUCGCUUUUAUUAUGUGUUUGUGCUAGUUUAGAUGCAAUAGUAGUAGGAGAGUAGUACUUAUGAAGUAAUGUUAUAUUGGUGGAUAAAUAGAUCUUUAAUAAACCUUGGAACAAUUUAGAUUUACUUAGGUGAUUGUGAUAUUGAAAAAAUAUCUUGUGGAUAUUCUUCUAAUUUCUGUAUCUAUAGUCAUGUCAUCAACUGGAAGCUUGCUUUAUAAAAAUGGACUUGGAUAACCAUGAUUUGUGCUUGAUUCCCACAUUUGAAGAUUAAAGCUGGAGAACUUUUGGGUGUAGUAUGAUCAACCUGAGAUAUAUUAAAUUUAUAUAGGUGUAGUACAAUUAGGAUGAUUGUGGAAUUGGUGGACUAUUGGAUCAUCUUGGAUUGAAUUAGUUGUAAGGAUGGAGUAAUAGAAAUGGUGUUUGGUUAGAUGAUAUAACUACUUGGAUUCUAGGUUGGAGAUAAAUUGGGCACUUGGAUUUGUGAUUGUUUUACCUAAGCUUAGUAGCUUGUAUGUGCCCCAUAUGGUUAUGAGCAUCGAGAUGAUACAAAUGGAUUGGAGUUGGCAGACUUUGAUAGUUUUGAUGGCCCUCCCUAAGAAUGUUAUGACUUAUGACUACAAGAUCAUCAUGGGAGGAUGGUUUAGAUUAAUUAGAAUAUAUGGCAAUCUGGUGGUAUGUGCCUUGUUGGAGCAGUUGAUCUCGCUUUUAUAAUGUGUUUGUUCUUAUUUAGAUGAAGUAUUAGCAAAAGCGUAGUACUUAUGAAGUUGUAUUAUAUCGGUGGAUAAAUAUAUCUUUAGUUAACCUUGGAACAGUUUGGAUUUACUUAGGUGCUUGUGAUUUUGAAAAAAAGUAUUGGUGGAUAAACUUCUAAUUUUUGGAUCUAUAGUCAUCCAAUGGAAAUUUGCUUUAUAUUGGACUUAGAUACCAUGGUACUUGGCUUGGUUGGAUCAUGCUUAUGAUCUGUGGUAGAUUCGCACAUUUGGAGAUUGAAACUAGAGAACUUUAGGAUAUAGUAUGAUCAGUCGGAGAUAUAUUGAAUUUAUAUGGUUGUAAUGAUCAACAUAAUUGUGGAAAUUGAUGGGCUAAAUCAUCUUGAAUUGAUUAAGUAGUAAGGAAACAAAGAUCUUGGAGUAAUAGAAAUAAUGUUUCCUUUAAGAUUAGAUGAUAUAACUACUUGGAUUCUAGGUUGGAGAUAACUUGACCUAAGUUUAGUAGCUUGUAUGUGCCCCAUAUGGAUAUGAGCAUGGAGAUGAUACAAAUGGAUUGGAGGUGGUAGACUUUGAUGGCCCUCCCCAAGAACGUAUGAGUACAAGAUCAUCAUGGGACAAUGGUUUGGAUUAAUUUGAACAAAUGGAAAUUUUGAUGGUAUGUGUGCCUUGUUGGAGCAACUGAUCUUGCUUUUAUUAUGUGUUUGUGCUCAUUUAGAUGCAGUAGUAGCAGCAGCGUAGUACUUAUUCAAAGAUGAAUCCAAGGGUGAAGGUUUUGGUUUUGCUAAUUUCAAUCAUUAAGGUUUAUUAGUUAUUUUGAUAUUCUCAAAUCUUAUUGGAUGAUGAUCUGGUGUUGAACUCAAGUUUUUUGGUCACUCAUGAACCUGGAACUUGAUCCAUCAGAUGAUCGCAAAUUCUCGACCCCUUUUGAUUCUUCGCUUGCUCAGUACAAUAAUUUAGUCUCCAAAGAUUUUGAUUUGGAUUAUUAUUAUUAUUGGUUGGUUCUCUAAAAAUUGGGAUUAUAUGAUCAGGGGCCGAGGUGACUUAUCUUCUUGUCGACCUGCAUUUGGAUGAUCAUUACUUUCUCUAUUUAAUUUCUUCCUCUCCACAGCUCACCUUUAGUCCAACAAUUCUAAUUUGCAUUUAUUGGUGGUUUUUUAGAAAUUAGGGGUUAUACGGCUCAACAGGGGUACUUAUCGUCUCGCUGAUCUAUGUUGGGAGAUCAUUACUCUCUCCAUUUAAUUUCCUCCUCUGCAUUGUUCAAUUUUAGUCCCUUAACUCUAAUUUGAAUUUAUUGGUGAUUCUCCAGAAGUUGGAAUUAUACAACCUAGCGGGGGUGACCAAGCUCUUUAAAAAAUAGUCUUAAGACCAAAGGCAUUACCAAAAGCCGCCAACGGACCGACCACCACCAUGACCUCAAUUUGCGCAAGGGUUUAUGAACAACACCAACCAAGCUCUUUAAAAAAUAGUCUUAAGAGCAAAGGCAUUACCAAAAGCCGCCAACGGACCGACCACCGCCAUGACCUCAAUUUGCGCAAGGGUUUAUGAACAACACCACAUCAUCUGCGUACAAGGUUUAUGAACAACACCGGAUCAUCACCGCCAUGACCUCCUGCAUCACUGCUCGGCUAGGGUGAGGCUGAAUCCAGUCCUGCUCCACUUGUUACAUCAUUUGGCACAGUUGGCCCAAUGGUGUGGCAUCUCCUCCAGCGGCGGUGCACCAUCCUCAUCAUCGCCACCACCUCCCUACACCGCAGUGGGUCAUCAGCCAGCCGCUGUGGAUAGAACGUGAUUGAUUCCACGUGUACAAGCACCGGGUAGCAUAGGAGGCACACCUCCCCCUUGCCACCGUCAAGGCCGAAACCUGGCAAGAGGGAGACAUGCAUGAGCGGGUCGGGCAGAAAGCACAAGGCUGCACUGUAGCAUCUUCGUUGGCACCUCGUUGGGGUCGUCCACCCAUGCCCUGACGACGAAGUAUGAGAGGUCGAGCUUGUCGAGGGAUUCGAUGGCCAUAUGGUAGAUUAGGCAUUCGGGCAACAGUUCUUGCGCGGUUUGAGGCGAGAACUCCCGCAAGGGAUGCGUUGGAUGGACAGCCUAACGUUGUAGCAGCAUUGAACUGAUGUGGCGAAGGUUAUCUUGUUCGAACGCCACACUAGGAGCAGCGUGCGUCCACCCCACGAACCAUGUAGAACCACCGGCAGUGCGUGAAGCUGGCGAAGAAAGAUCCUAGCUGCAUGAGAGACCUAAAAGCCGUUUGUUCAAAAGCACCGGGAAGUCGUCCCUGAUGCCCUCAACAAUUUUUACCAGGAUUAGAGAUGACCUCGUACCCGCCACCAUGAGCACCAGCCCAAAUCCCAUAGGUAAGAACAUAUCCUCGAUGAGGCACCUCGUCUUGCGUGAGCGGGUAUUGCCCCUCGCCAGGUCGUAUGUGAACCUAGCCGACAUGGAAGGCUCCAGCGACGAAAGGGCGGGUGGCUCCUUGUCGGGAAAGGUGAACCUGGAAUGAGUCAGCGAUUCGGGUGGUCGAGGGGGGGGGGCGGCCUGGAUUGGACUGACUAGCAGCGGCGGGGGUGGCAGCUGCACUCACGGCCUUGGCGGUGGUCAAGGCGGGGCUAAGAGUAGUGAUGGACUCGUUAGCGGCAGCCAGGUCAUCAUGGCGACGUGCGAAGUUCCUUCUGACUAGCGGCGGCGUGGGUGGCAGCUGCACUCAAGGCCUUGGCGGUGGUCAAGGCGGGGCUACGAGUAGUGAUGGACUCAUUAGCGGCGGCCAGGUCAUCAUGGCGGCGCGUGAAGUUCCUUGUGAAGCACAUCCUCUAGCCCAAGUGGUACAUUUGCUCAUUUGUGAUAUGUUCUGUUAGUGUUAUGUUCUCCUUGUCUCUUGCUCUGUUUCUCUUGCCCACAUGUACAUUUGUUCAUUUUCGUAGACCUGCUAUGUUCUAUUGUAAUUCGAGUUCAAAUGUCAAGUUGCGCCGCAACAAAAUGCUGCUACUUUAACUUCUGUAAGCGCAGCGAGCAGCGUAGGCGGCCGUUGCAGCUGCUCACAUGGAACGUAUGCCCUGUUGCAGCCUCGCAGGUACCCACAUCUCUCCCUCCCUCCCUCCUCUUGAUUUGAUCCCCAUAAAUUCUCAGCUUUAUUUCUGUGGAUUUUUGUUUUAUCUAUGCCUGUUAUGUCUUUGACAAAAUCCAAGCAGAUUGAGGGGAAGAUUUUGUGCUUAGUUUUUUACUCAAGUAUUUCAUCUUUCUCUCAAAUUUAGCUCCAAUGAACUGAAUUAUUUUGGCAUCACUUUUUUCCCUGGAGAGCAUUAUCAUCUCAUCUCACCACACUCAUGCCACAUAACCUGGCGAGCUCACUCCUUACUCAUUCUAUGUACCACAUUUGUAGAUCAGUUUAAGGUACUGCUAAUGAACCAAAAGUUAAUGUUGUUGGCCUUGCCAAAAUGCCAUGAAGCUUAACAUUCGACACUUCCUUCAAUAGGGCCCUUCAGCCUCCAAGGAGAAGGGAAGUGAUGUCUGACAGGGAAAGAAACUAGGCAAAGCUCUGGAUGCUCGAUUGAGUACACACCCAAUUAGCACUCUACUUCGUCGGUUGUCCACUGAAAUUUGCUCCAUGACAUCUUGCUUGCCAUGUGGUCACCUUACCUCAAAAUCGACAUAUUAUAAUCUAUGAACUACUACAAGUAAACUAUACAACCAAAUGAUUGUUCCAAAAAUUCAAAUUUGCACCAUGCUUUCCACCUGAUCUGCCAGUUUAACUAUCUUAAUUGUACCGCAGACAUUUGAUGUGUGGUAGUAAGUGUGUGAUGAAGCAUGGUGUAGUAGCAAACUAGCAACUGAAUUUUUUGACAUACCAUGGAUUUCUUUCUGCCUCUAUUUGAUGCUCGGGGGUGCUGAUCCGAAGGUCCGUGCGGACCCUGCUCUGGACAUACGUCUCCUUAAUUUCCAUGUGCAAUUCUGCAAUCCAUGCUUUACACUUUAAAAUGAGACAAUAAAAUUUAGCUCAUGUUGCCCUUCCAUCAUGCACCCAGAAUAUAUUACCUUUCUGCUUUUUAUAUUUUGGUUGGGCAUGUUUCAUGAUCAGAGGAUCGAUGAUUUGUUAUGCUAGACAAUGGAAAUAAGAUUUGGUGGAAAACAAAUGAUAUGAUAGGUGAUUUAUGAUGUAUUACUAUUUUAGAUAACAUUAUCCAAAAUUAGUUUUUGGUAUACGCAAACUUUGGAAUUUGUUGAUAAAGAAAGAUCACGCCUAAUUUGCUGGCUCUCUGUUGACACUUAACAGUACUGGCCUCCUGACUCUAGUUGGAUAAUGUUGAUGACUCGAUAUGCGGAGAGAGGUUAGGAAUUGUUGCUAUGGACUAAAACAAUGCAGAGUUGAAGGUUCUGAACUGGGAACUUGAACAAACAGUUUGCCUACCUUUCUUGUGGAAUUGAUUUUUUAAAAGUGAAUGUUCUUCUGGUUGGUGCUUCUUCAGUGGGAUCUGGACCAUGGAAUCUUCAAUUGCAUCUGCUUGGUUCACUGGGAAUUUCCUAGUUUUAAUUUGAUUGACAACUAGCAAAACAGUCCGGCUAAUUUGAUGAUUAAUUCCUGCUGAUUGUACACUUUCAACUCAAGUUCCUGCUGAUUCUACACUUUUCAACCCAAGUUACAUUGUACCAUAUGCCAGUUUGUUUCAUACCUCAUCCAUCCUGGAUUUUUAGACGCAAAGCAUCUGGAUUUUAAAACAAGAAAUAACAUGUCUUUAACAAAAUUAUUCACUCAAAGACCAUGCCCAAGAUUGGAUCUCUCAUCUUUACAGUAAAUUUGGACAGCAGGGAUCUCUCAUCUUUACAGUAAAUUUGGAUAGCAGGGAUGUUCAGUAGAAAAGCUAUAAUAGCAUGGAAGCGUUGUUUCUGAACUCGAGCACAUAUGUGCUCUUUAUCUGGGCGGUUCGUCAUAGCAUUGGGAUGCGGUGCAUUACUUUCUGUGUCAGGCUGUUGUUCACUGGAAAAGGGGGAAAUGCAGAAGGAGCACCUCCUUUAACGAUUCAAAACAGGGCCGUGGCUCAUGCCGUCAUUCCCGUCCUGAUCCGUGGCUCGUUUAGGGCCUCAGUAGCUGAGUAAAUGGAGGGAUGGGUUGCUGGGCAGAGUUCUCUCCUACCUCCGGCUCCUGGUUUUUCCUAUUAUCGAGUGAGGCUAGAUGGGCGGCGGAGCUUCUAUUCGAAGGAAACAAAGGCUAGCGCAGAAGAUGGAAUUUCUGAUGCAAUCGAUUAAAAGAACCACCGUGCUGGAGGACGUUAACGAUGGCAACGUACUCAUGGAGCCACUACACUGCCAGUGGUCGCAACCGUUGCAGAUCCGCUGCCGCCCAUGGCGGCAAUGAGUGCGGAAGGCCAGAUCUGUGCGGCUGAUGGCGUGAUCGAUACUGAAAUCGAUGGUUUACUGCAAGCAUCCGAGCAGUCGAUUACUCGAUUUGUUAGAUCGACCCAAAAGCCCCAGCAUGGACUCGAAGUGAGGAUCGGUGCUGCCGCACCAGGAAGGUCACCUUGUCGUAAUCGCACUAGUGCACUGGAGAAGGCAAUUCAUGGUUUUGCGGAAAAUCCAGGAGAUGAUGUGAUUGUCCCUGCACUAGGAACAAGCUUUGAUUGUUUGAGUGAAGCCUUCGACUAUUGCCAUUGGACUUCGAUUCUUUUGGAUGAAGCAUACGACUUUUACAAGCUUCGAUUCUUUGACUAAUCUAUAUUUUAGUAAUCCUCCUUAUUUUCUGAAACUGAUGUAUAGUGGUAUGAUGUACAUUUAAAUGGAUUUCUAAAGUGACAGUAAAUUAGACAACUAUUUUACGAUGUGUAGCCAAAAGCCAAAAGGAUAAUUGCACUAUUAUCAGAAUCAGAUAUGAUUUCAAGUCUGGAGAAAAUCUGCCUUUUCUUCUUCCUUUGUGACUUCCAAUAAUCUAAAUCAAAAGCCACUGGGUUGUACUGUUUUUCAGUG